rnacentral:rRNA from 1 species
CACGUAGGGGGCAAGCGUUGUCCGGAUUUAUUGGGCGUAAAGAGCUCGUAGGUGGUUCGGUAAGUCGGGUGUUAAACCCCCAGGCUCAACCUGGGGACGCCACUCGAUACUGCUGUGACUUGAGUCCGGUAGGGGAGCGUGGAAUUCCUGGUGUAGCGGUGAAAUGCGCAGAUAUCAGGAGGAACACCAAUGGCGAAGGCAGCUCGCUGGGACGGUACUGACGCUGAGACGCGAAAGCGUGGGGAGCAAACAGG